AGCGAACGCUGGCGGCAGGCCUAACACAUGCAAGUCGAACGAAGUCUUCGGACUUAGUGGCGGACGGGUGAGUAACACGUGGGAACGUGCCUUUAGGUUCGGAAUAACUCAGGGAAACUUGUGCUAAUACCGAAUGUGCCCUUCGGGGGAAAGAUUUAUCGCCUUUAGAGCGGCCCGCGUCUGAUUAGCUAGUUGGUGAGGUAAAGGCUCACCAAGGCUACGAUCAGUAGCUGGUCUGAGAGGAUGAUCAGCCACACUGGGACUGAGACACGGCCCAGACUCCUACGGGAGGCAGCAGUAGGGAAUCUUGCGCAAUGGGCGAAAGCCUGACGCAGCCAUGCCGCGUGAAUGAUGAAGGUCUUAGGAUUGUAAAAUUCUUUCACCGGGGACGAUAAUGACGGUACCCGGAGAAGAAGCUCCGGCUAACUUCGUGCCAGCCGCCGCUGUAAGAC
rnacentral:rRNA from 1 species